UUGAAAAAGUCCGGAUAUAACUCCUCUUGCAAUAAAUAGUACAGAAGUGGUGUAUAUACGGCUGAAAUGGAAAAUGAUAAAUGUUAUACUUAUAAUUACAUCUGAGUUGCAUACAUUGAACGCCUCCAAACUGAAUUGUUGAAAGAGAAUGUAAGAAAAUUGUCCUAAGUUUUUGCCUGAGAUUCAGAGUAAAUCGAGUUUCAAUAAAUAACGGCAGGGAAGUACCCGGAUGAAAAAGUAUUCAUAUUUGAAGUCAAAUGUUGUCAAAAUAAUAAUUUGCUUCUGUCCGCUAGCCACUCAAGAUAUUUACACUCACGCAACUCCAGCUCUUUCUUUUUCUGUCUGCAUAUGCGUCUUGCUUAUCUUCGCUGCUACGAUAUAGUGGUCCUGCUCAGUAUUGGGCUCUCAGAGCGUACGCAGUUCAAGAAAUCGGAGAAAUAUCAUCGGUCUAUUACAACAUGAUCCACCAGAUUUUGAGUCUUUCGAUCAGGGACAGUCCCGUAGAUUCAUGUAUUUUCUUGUGCUGAAACCACAGACGACCAUAUCUUCCGCCCCGGCGAAAUCCCUUAACAUCGAACCAUUUCGGAACGUUCCCUUGGUCGCAUCGUCAUCAUCUUUUCAUCGAUUAUAAAGCUGUGUCCUUGGUAUUACAGAGCAAACUAGCGCUAGACAACAGCGGACACUUAAUACUGGAGAAAAUAAAAAGAUCUGCAGAGUAAAUGGAUCAGGCACAAUAUUUUACAAGGAUGUACACCUGCUGGCGUAUGUCGAUGACAUUGAUAUUGUAGGCCUUAACAACCGCGCCGUUACUUCUGUUUUCUUCAAGUUUGACAUAGAAGCAAAGUGACAACAAACAAACAGUCGGGGCAUUUAGGUCUCUGCUCUCGCGUCACUACUGACUCUUAGCUUCUAGAUUGUAGAUAAUUUCUUCUAUCUAGUGACCAACAUUAACACCAAUAAUAAUGACAGCCAUGAAAUUCAACGCAGAAAAAGGAACUACUUUAAACUGAGUAUGAUAUUGAAAAGUAAAGUCAUCUCUCGACGUAUGAAAGCGCUUUAGCUUUGAAAGUAUUCGAUGCAGUACCCGCUGGCGGAAGCAGAGCAAGAGGAAAACCCCCACUCUGUUCGAAAGAUCAACUGGAGAGUGAAAUUAAAAAUGUAAAUAAUUUAAUAAUAAGAAUUAAUAAGGAAAUUAAA